UUCUUCAGGGCAGGGUGCAAUUCCCGACCGGCGGUAAAGUCCGCGAGCCGUUAUGGCAGACUUGGUGUAACUCCAAGACCGACAGUAAAGUCUGGAUGAAAGAAGU
rnacentral:ncRNA from 1 species